GACUUAUGUGCUUAGGAAAGUGUUUAAUUUUUAAGCAUUAAAAACUAAACAUGUUUUGGCUCUCAGCACUUCGCACUAAACAUGUUUUGGCUCUCAGCACUUUGCAAUAAACAUGUUGUUGUGCUAAACAUGUUUAGCUACAUCGUCAAGUAUAUGAAGCUAAACGUGUUUAAAUUCUAAGCACUUUCAAUAUUUAGACACUUUCCUAAACACGUUUAGAAUUACAACACAUUUAGGCCGAAGACGGCAUGCAUACCACGUGCUAAUUUUUGAGCGGGAAGAAGAAACAAAGAACCCGAAGUCAAAGGCCACGCUGUUUACUUCUGACCAUAACUGACCGUAACUUAACUGUUUCAGAAAGGUAAGGAGUGAUAUUUAUACUGAUUUUUAUUUUGUACUGCCAAUUUUAAAUGAUUAUUGACAGUUAUAAGUAUUAUUUACAAGUACACUACCGUAUAGUCAAUGCAGGAGAAGAAAAAGGGGGAACCAUCCCACGAAACAAGUGCUUGUAAGAGAUUUUAGUGUUCAAACUAUCUUGUGUAAAGAUAAGAGUUGUUUAAUGUUCUAUCAUGCAAGCUAGCACUUAUAUAUAUAUAUGUUCUUGGAAAGGAGUUCAUGAGGACAAUUUUCAUUUGGUACUCCUCGGCAGAUUAUAAUGGAACAUGAAGGGAAGCGGAAUCUGCCGAGUGCAUCAUUCGCAAAACCAGUGUCAUAUCGAGUUCAUUGUUUUAGUAAGCACUUCCUAAAUGCACAAUCAACAUUUGCUCAAAAUAAAUAAAAAGAUGCUUGUUUUUCUUCAAUAGUUAUAAGCCGUUGUGCUUUCUUAUAUUUUUAUUGAUAUGUAUUGUUUUAUUCUAGAUGAGAGAAGUGCAGAGGAAAUCAUUUGUCUUGACAUGCUAAAAGAGGAGAUAAUGCACAGUAGCAACUAUAUUGCUAGGUAAGAAUCCGAAGUGUAUUUGAUUUUAAAAAUGUCAAUAUAUAUUUGAUCAAAUGAAUGAUAUUAAGCAUGAAAAGAAGUUUUAUAUUAAAAAUAUCAAUUGACUCAUCAGUACAUUUAUGCUUUUAUACCACGGUUCUAAUGUUGUUAUCUUGAUCUUAAAUCAUGCAUUUACUUUUUGGUGUUGUAGUUCGUAUACUUAUAUUUUUAGAUUAAUUCUACUUAGUUGCUUAUCAAUAUUUUUCUAUCUUUCAGGCCAGUGACCAGCAGUUGGGUACUAAGAAAGGAGAAGCUCUUAUUGACUUGUAAAAUGAAAACAGGACAUUUUCAAAUUGUUUUGAUUGGUCAAUAUUAUGUAUAUGUACGUUGCUAUGAAUUUAUGAUUUU
rnacentral:lncRNA from 1 species